GAUGGUUGUGCCGGGUGCAGGCAGGUGCAGACGGGUACAUUCCUUGACAGUCAAUUGCUUUCGAUCCCAUCCGACUAUCAUGCAGUCUGACUUAAGAUGACUAAUUGUUUUUCAGGGUGAAUUGAGUUCAGAUCCUUGAACAAAUGAUUGUGAUUUUGUAGCUGCAGUGGUGCUAUUCUUUAUUAUUACUUGGUAUGUCAGUACUUCCUACCUACUUGAAUUUCCCUAUCCCCAAUUUAUGGGAUUUUUAAUUUUUGAUAUUUCCAUAAAUGAUUAUACACAACUUCUGAUAACACAUGCCACCUGGUUUCCGUUCUCUAUAAGAACUGAGAAGUACGUAUGCACUUCCACGACAUAUAGGUUCAUAUGGAUGUCUUUCAACGACAUAUAGAGAGAGUGAUAGGAUCAGACUAAGACAUGAAAGUCUGACACACAAACAAAAGUAUACGGCAUGUACAUACUGUUCUUUCAUAGUAUAUGGCAUGUAUAGAACGUUCACAUACAAACAAAGCUACCAAAAAAAAUAUUAGUAGAUGUACCACAAUGAUAGCUCAUGUACAAUCCAAAACAAAUAGUUAGUUUAAUUCAUUAAGUGGAUCCAUCAGCAGCAACAGUAACAACUUUAAGAAGAAGCAAUUUAUCAAAUAUGUAAUCAGACAAAACUGGGGACACAUUUACCUUUUGUGACUUUUAACUGUCCCGUCAAUGCAUCAUGUUCAUAAACACGUUUGACCGUUAGGCUGGGAGUGAUGUGCUUUCCUUUUCUUUUUUCUCCUUUUUCUGUUUAGAAUGCCCCUUUUUCUGUUGAUGAGGUCCUGUUAUGUUCUCUAUCAUCAUGAACCGUAUCUGGCAUGUUAAGGUCAGAUGUUGCAGUCUGCGAUAGUUCCUGUGGAACAAUCUUUACCGAAAUGAGUAGAAAGACAAUUAAAACCAAUGAAGAGUAUCUCCAGACAUUAGACAUUAAGAAUUGCCCUUUUGGUUGUGUCGUGCAAUUUUUAUACCUGGACUCCAUUUGGGGAGUUGAUCCAUAGUGGAGAUGCCGCUAAGAUGGCAUCAAUUGGCAUUUUUCGCAUUGAUCGUUUCUUUUUCCUUGCUACGUUGGUAUUGCUAGCAAGAUUUACCCUUUGGCAGUGAGAUCCACACGGGGUAAGGUCGUGUGAGGCUACAAAUGUUACAGCCAUUUAAUAACAGUAGAAAAACCUCAUCAACUAUAUGUAUGCUCAUUGUGAUAAAUAAUAAGAAAUUAUGCUCGCAAUUACCUGGCAUUGGCACUGGAGUCAUUCGGGAAUGAUGAUCAACAUUAGAGAUGUCACCAAGAGGGGCUCCGUUAGAGGCAUCACCAAUAGGGGGUCGGCACAGAUUUGGCGCCUCCAUAUCUUCAAACGUCAUGCUCCGUUGGCGCUCAAAAAUGAACUUAAAGAAAACAUUAAGAGGAGUAAGAAACUGAAUAGUUUGUGUGUGAUUUUCCAAAACUACAUUUGUAAAAGCGCAGAAGGAACUGAUGUAUAUUCAAUAAUGUACUGAAUCCACCUGUUCAGUUUGGCGAUUCUAAUGUACCAUGACCAGUAACUUUCCGCAAUAGAAAAUUCCAGUCGCCAAACAAAGCCAAACAUCGAUACCAUUAUUAGAUUACAUGAUCAUUUACACCUCUCAGAUUGAGAUGAUGCAUUAUCUUACGAAUUGAUAGAACAAAAAUAGGUAACUACAGAAACUCAUCUGGCCUGUCAAGUAACUAAUACAUUCUGUUGCUUUGAACAGACUUGUAUUCUUCUGCGCUCACUAUGCCUGCAAACAGAAGCACACGAUUUUGGAUGUCCUGAAGCGCAUACACACGAUUUUGUUUGACUUGGUAGUUUACUUGCAGUUUCAUCACAAUUUACACAGUUUUCUCCUUGUGCAUAAACCUCUGUAAGCGUUUAACCGUUAGCGUCUGCACCAUCUCUUUUGUAGGGUGUUGAAACUGCCCUUUUGUCAUAACAUUGAUACAGUGUGAUGCCUAUGGGAAGAAGUGGUGCUUUGAGAGAAUAGGUAUCUGGAUCUCCUGGUUAUAUACUCUUAGAAGUUAGAAAUCAGUUUUCUCUUAUUGAUGGUUAGCAUGCUUGCCUACUUCUGAAUCUUUUCUCCAGUUAUGUGAAAGCCAUCUAAAAUUGCAUCUACUCUUUCACUGUAACAGGUUACUGAAGUGCAGUCACGUGCAUUGGCUUUCUCAUGUGGGUUGGGCCUCAUACUUUUCUGUGAAAGCAAUCGCAUUAGGAGUAAACUGUUCAUGCGAUGGCUUUAUGAGAUGUGAUGCCUGUAUGAGAUGCGAUGAUGUAUGAGAUACGAUGGCUGUAUCAAAUAAUACCUAUAUCUCGUCGGCGUCUCCUCGUCCAGGAUCAGCGCCGGAUCCUGGACGUGUUCGGCGGCGGAUCCUGGACGUGUCCGAUGGAGGGCGGCGAGUGAAGCGCCUUUGAUGUGCGAGGCC
rnacentral:lncRNA from 1 species